CACAGAUUAAGCAGUGGGACAGAGUGGGCAGUUAGACACAGAUUAAGCAGUGGGACAGAGUGCUCAGUUAGACACAGAUUAAGCAGUGGGACAGAGUGCUCAGUUAGACACAGAUUAAGCAGUGGGACAGAGUGGGCAGUUAGACACAGAUUAAGCAGUGGGACAGAGUGCUCAAUUAGACACAGAUUAAGCAGUGGGACAGAGUGCUCAAUUAGACACAGAUUAAGCAGUGGGACAGAGUGGGCAGUUAGACACAGAUUAAGCAGUGGGACAGAGUGCUCAGUUAGACACAGAUUAAGCAGUGGGACAGAGUGCUCAGUUAGACACAGAUUAAGCAGUGGGACAGAGUGCUCAGUUAGACACAGAUUAAGCAGUGGGACAGAGUGCUCAGUUAGACACAGAUUAAGCAGUGGGACAGAGUGCUCAGUUAGACACAGAUUAAGCAGUGGGACAGAGUGGGCAGUUAGACACAGAUUAAGCAGUGGGACAGAGUG